rnacentral:lncRNA from 1 species
CUCAAUACUCUCAAAAUCCAUUCCUAAACAUGCUCCCUUGGUUCUACAAAGUACAUACUAGCCAUGCCCUGCAAUUAUUGAUUCCAAGGCAGACAUCCAGCCAACUCCAUCAUCUUUAGAAUUAACCUUGCCCCCCACCACUCAAGUGCCAGGCCUCUGAC